rnacentral:rRNA from 1 species
UACGAAGGGGGCUAGCGUUGCUCGGAAUCACUGGGCGUAAAGCGCACGUAGGCGGCUUCUUAAGUCAGGGGUGAAAUCCUGGAGCUCAACUCCAGAACUGCCUUUGAUACUGAGGAGCUUGAGUCCGGGAGAGGUGAGUGGAACUGCGAGUGUAGAGGUGAAAUUCGUAGAUAUUCGCAAAGAACACCAGUGGCGAAGGCGGCUCACUGGCCCGGUACUGACGCUGAGGUGCGAAACGUGGGGGACAAACAGGG